UCUGCCUGCCUUGGCCUCCCAAAGCACUGGGAUUACAGGUGUGAGCCACUGCACCUGGCCUGCUUUUCACAGCUUUUCACAGAUACUUUACAAGAGAAGGUGUACAAAUGGUAAAUAAGGACAUGAAAAGAUGGUCAACAUUGUUAGUUAUUAGGGAAUGCAAAUUAAGACUGUAAUCGCCCAACAGGGUUCUUCUUGCUGCCCAGAAAGGCAACGUGCCGAGAACGGCAGGUGUGGCAGCAGAGAAGGAGUUUAAUGACUGCAGAGCCAGCCAAGGGAGGUGGACGGGAGAUAACUCUCACAUCUGUCUGCCUGAGAAUUCAGAGUCGAGGGCUUGAGGGUGUUUUGGCGGGCAGUGGCCUAGGGAGUGGUGAGUGCUGAUUGGUUGUGUUGGGGAUGCAGUCAUAGGGGUGUCAGGACUGUCUUCAUGCAGCUGAGUCAGUUCCUGGGAGAUGGGGUCACAGGUCCCGGUGGCAUCUCUCGAUCUGCUGAAAUGCUAAAUCUGAAAAAUAUCUCAAAGACCAGUUUUUUAGGUUUUGCAGCAGUGAUGUCUGCAGGAGCCGUUAGGGAAGUUCCGAAUCUCACAAUGUCUGGUUACGUGACUCCGGGCAGCAGGCACCGUAGAAGAGCAAGCUAAGUCAGCAGGGAAGGUCGUGGCUUAACCGGGCCUGUUCUUUAGCAAAGUUCAGGCCCCUGUAGUAAUGCCGGUCUUAGGAAUGCGGCCUUAAUCUCCAAACAGAGAGGGAGUGUCAGUUUUCCUUGCUUUGAAGCUUAACUAUAAACUAAAUUCCUCUCAUAGUUAUCUUGGUCUCUGCAUUAGAAUAAGCAAAAAAAAAAAAAAAAGAAAAGAAAAGAAAAAAAGGAUUGCUCCUAUGAGGUUAGAAGCAAGAUGGAGUCAGUAAUGUAGAUUUCUCUCAGUACUUAAAAUUCUGUAAAGGUGGUUUCAAGACCGCAGUGAAAUACCACUGUGUACCCAACAGAAUGGCUAAAAUUAAGCAAAUUGACCGUCCUGACUGCUGGCAGAGAUGCUGAGCAGCCAGGCCUGUCAAACGUUGCCCCUGGGAGUAGGAAAUGGUGCGGCCACUUUGGAAGUGGUUUGGUAGCUUUGUACACACUUACGGUAUGACCUGGCAGUUCCAUUCCUUGGUAUUUAACCCAAGAGAAAAUGCGACCUCACGAAGAUUUGUACAGGAAUGUUUGUAAGAGCCUUAUUCUAACAGUCUGGGAGCAGGAACAACUCAGGUGCUUGUCAGCAGGUGAAGGGGUAUGUGGACCGUGGCGUCUCCACGCAGUGUAACACGCGGCAUCGGCUGUGCUUGGAAACAUGAACGAAUCUCUUGCUGAGUGAAGGAAGCCACAGUUACUGAGUUUAUACUUACUAUACCAUCCCAUUUAUUUGAACUUUUAAAAAAGGUAAAACUGAGCAACAGUGACAAAAAGCAGGUCAGUGAUCCCUGGAGUCUUGUGCUGGGAUAUGUUUGGGGCCUUAUGGGGUGCUACCUUUUGACGUGAUGGAGGUGACAGCUGCACAGGUGUACAUGCAGCAAAGCUCUUGACACUGCUGUUGUGAAACGGUUCACGUGUGUGAUUAUACCUCACCCAAGCUGGCCUGUCAACAGCAAGUGGUCCGCUGUUCGGAUUAGCUGUGAGGGGAAGGAAAAUUCCUUAGUGGCGACUUGGACUGAAUUGGAGAGUCGCCUGGGGGUUCUAUUUAAAGCCAGCCUUCAUUUGGGGAGGGACCCAUCCCCUGAGUUUAUGGAAGGCCUAAGACAAUGGCUGCCUGGACCUCCUGGGUCUUUGGCACAUCACACGAGUGCUUUGAGGAGUGGCAGCAUGUGGGGUCAGGUGUAGGCUGCAGGGGGUCAAGGAGUUUCACAUUUGAUUAAAAGCAGAACAAGCUACGUGAAUGCAAAUGAAUGGAAUGAAAAGUGGAACGUGGUCUUCCUUUCCUUCCCUCCCUGGUGACCUCUCUCAGGGCUGGGUGCCCCGUGUCACAGCUUCCUGGCCAUCACUCAGGGCUGGGUGCCCCGUGUCACAGCUUCCUGGCCAUCGUCACCUGUGUUCUCAUUACUCCUGGGGAACUGUUCCAGAACAGAACUGACUGCCCCGGAGGCGGGUGGCAGGGCAUGCUGUGCUUGGCCCCAGUUCGUCUUUCUAGGCAAUGCCUGAUGAGUUUCUUGUGUGUUGUUCUGGAAAUGUGUGUGCAUACAAGCUCUUUAUGUACUCCCAUCACCUUUUAAAAUUGGGGCUCCUUCCACAGUUUUAUUCUGCAACUGUUUUCACUCAGUUUUUGACAGUUUUUUGGCACCAGCACAGGCUGGUCUGCUGAACUACUUUAAAGAGUGCAGACGGACUCAGACUCCAGCAGCCCCUGUUGAUGGACACUUAGGGUGUUUCCAGCUUUUUCCCCCAAUUAGCCAUGCUAUGCUGGUUGGGUAAAUUCUUAAAAGCAGAAUUUUUAGUUUAAAAGAGAUGUGCAUUUGAGACUGAUAGCUGGUGCCAUACCGCCCUCCCGGAAAGCAUGACUGCUGUGCGCUCCCGUCACGGCGUGUGACUGCCGUCACCUAAUUGGGGUGGUGUGCUUUCAACGUUUCUAGAGAGAUUCACCUCGAAGUCACAGUACGAUGAGGAGAGCAGGCAUCUUCAAAGGCUUGGCUUUUCAGAAAUGUCAUUUAGCAGCUCCCACUGAGGGGGACCCUAUGAAAUAGGAAGGGAGUGGGUGUCAAGUCCUGCAGCCAAACCCCCACUUUAGGGAGGAAAUCAUUUGUUCGUGGCCAAGAUGCCGCUGUUUUUGGCUCCUUGCCCGUCCCGUUGUGCCUGAAUCUGGCCUCGUUUCCCACCCCGCUGGCUGGGUGUUGUACCUGUCAGCAGGGCCAGGCCUGAGGGGGGCUGAGGAGGGCUGCAGAGGAGGCUAGACUGGGGAGGUGGAAGGUGGGCGUUGCCAGCUCAGAGGCCUGGCAGCUGUGCCCACCUGGAACUGCUGACCCAUCCUCUGGAGUCAAAACCGGGCACCUGUCUGUGCUGACCUGGACAUUUUCCCAAAAACAUCUAUAGACUGGCCAGAUGACAAGUCUCAGGGCCCAGCUUCCCUGAUGUGUGAGGCCAAUUAGGAGGACAGUGAGGGGAUGCAUGAUUUUCCUCCAAGGAAGGGUCUAAUUGACCAGCCCGGACGCUUUUAUUAUCCUAGUUACCGUGCGCGUGAUUUGUAAUUACCCGGCUGUUGCGUUGAUCAAUACCAGACGCCCUGGUAGUGCUUGGGAAGUUGGGCGACUGUCAGGUAUGUUGGUCCCUUUUAAUUGGCGCCAAUUUGAUUUUCUUCGGGGCAUGGGAGGAGGAGGGGAGAAGCGUUUGGCCUUCUGGGUACUUGUGUGAACGCAGCCCUUUCUUCUGGGCCUGCAUGCCGGAUGCCUCGGGGUCUGGGCCGCGUUACCCCUUUUGGUUUGUUCAUUUGUUCACUCAUUCGUUCAUCAUGAGCUGCUCUUGUGGAGCCCAUAAUCUGGAGGGAGAAGGAUGCCCCAGGCCUGUGUGUCUGGUGUGCAGGUCCCAGGCCCCUGGAGCUGGAGAGUGGCGAGCGUGCUUCCCUCCAGAGGUGCAGGCCAGGGCGGGGCAUGGGCCAGGUUCCCAGCUCCAUCCUCGUCCGGAGCUGCAGGCCGAGGCGGGACAUGGGCCGGGUUCCCAGCUGCAUCUGAGCACGGUGCCUUCCAUCUCUCCUCCUCUCAGCCCCAGCUCCUCCUGUGGCUGAGUCCUGGCCGCUUUCUGCCUUGGGGUUGUGUUGGUUUUCCGUCAACUCCUCCUCUUAAUCCUGAGCUUUGUGAGUUAAGAGCUGGGGUGUCCCUUUAGCGCCCCUGUGCCGGGCGUGCAGUAGGCGCGUGCUGAGCCUUUGAAGAGUGGAGGAUUGAGCGAGGGCGUCUCUGUGCCUUGCAGUUGGUGGUGAUGUAUGGGCUGAGCCUCCAGCGCUCUUGGCUGCUGUGACAGGACCCCCUGGGGUUACUCGAACUGCACUAUCCCAGCGAGACCCCCAAAGCAAGGCCAGCAGAGAGCUUCCUGACAGCUGCCUUACUUUGGAGACGGCCCUGGCUGGGGUGCAGCCUGUGUGCCUCUCCGCCCCCUUGUAAAGCUUCAGAUGGGUGUUCCCAGCAGCGCCGACAGGCUCACGCUGCCCUGUUGGACUUCAUUCCAGGUUGGGUGGGGCCGGCUGGAGACUGUCAGAGUCUGGGGGCGGUGCUGUGGGUGUUGGAACCCCGUAGGGAGAGGCGAGAGAAGUGCUUCCCCGAAGAGACCGCGGGGCUCCACGCCGGCAUGUGCCUGGCUGCACAGACAGCUGAGUGCCCCUCGGCGUGUCUGGGUGGGAACGCUCUGGGUCUCACCUGGUCUCGGAGCACUUUUUGGGGCUUUUCUCCAAGCUUUGUAGAUACGGCUCUUUUACUUCUAGGCCUCUUUUUAAAUUGAUUUUAAAAGUCUAAGGCUAGAUAGUGACAGGCUUUAGACAAGUCUGGCUACUGUAGAUUCCAGGAUUUAUUUUAGAGGAGGCAGUGGCAUCCCCGGUGGUUUCUAGGCUGGUUUUUACUCAUGGGUGCUUACUGGGGUCCUGUUAUGUGCCGGCCCCUCCUUGUGGGCUAAGGGCUCCCAAGGUGUCCAGGUCCCUACUUUUACAGGUAGAGUAGGGGGUGCCCUGGCCUGGAAUGGAGGAAGGGUCUGGGCAGCUUUGUGACAGGGCUGGUAGGAGGGGGAUUUUGACAGGCGACUUGAAGCCAGCGCCAGCCAAGGGCCAGAGGCGGAGAAGCUGAAGGCCUCCCGUGGGCAGCCCACCACUGCCUGCCCUUCUCUCCGAGGACUUCCCAACAGUGCCAUGGCCUUUGGAGGGCUAGGGUCUCAGGCAGGCUACGGACAGCUCCACAGCUCCUACCAGACACUCUUCAACGUCAGCUUUGGGGCUGUGAGGUGUGACCUCUACAGGAUCACCUGCGGUCACUCCCUACGGCCAGCUGUAGCUGUCAUUUGUGUCAGGAGCUGCUGGUCUUGCCUGGACCACUCACCUUCCCACCCUUCACCCACCCUGCAUGGCCUGGGUUCUUGGGAGGAGCAGGAGAUCCUGAGCUGUUGAAUUCCUGGAACCUGUGGUCAGGCGGCAUCCGUAUCCCGCUCCUCCCAGCCCCUGGACGCUUCUCACUGGUGUGGCCUCCUGGAAACAGGUGCCCUGAUUCUGCUGGACAGGCAGGAGGGGAGGCUGGGCUGAGGAGUGGACCGGCCUUUUCAUGCUCAGUGGCUGCGGGGGGCCAUGUGCAUGAAGCAGGUGGUCCUCGCGGUAGUGCCGUUUGUGCAGAGCCGUGUUGGGGACAGCGGGCUUGUGUUAACAGAAGUGCUGUGAGAUGAUCACUUCAUCACGAGCCAGUCAGCACCAGCCUGUGGGGUGGCUGAUGUGGACUCAGUGAUCUGACUUUCCUGGCUUUUGUUUAAUGAUGUUUCCACUGUUACCCAGGUGCAGAGCUCUGACCUCCCAUGGUCAGAAGUACUGUGUGCGUGUCUCAUCUGGGCAGCAUGCAGAGACCUUUGCUGGCAGCUGUGUGUGGACCCUGGGACUCUGUUACAUGGCCGGGUGCUGAGGGGCAGGGGUCCGAGCCAGGCCAGCAAGCCUUCCUUAGACCCCCUGUGUGCAGGCCUGGUGCCCGGUGUAGGGGACCCAGUGGAGAACAAGAUCAGGCUGUUGCCAUGAGACUUUCGUCUGGUGGGGAGUCCUGAGAAGGACGUAGGUGAGGUGGGGAAGAGGUUCCAGGUGAACGCAGGUGUCCACCCCGCAUUCCAGGGUGGCAGGUGGCCUGGGGCAGGUGUGGAGUGGUUGGGUGGGCGCCCUGCAUGCUAUGUUAGUGUAGGGUGGUGCACACCUGGCCGGCAGGCCUUGCUUCCGCUCUUCACCCUCCACCUGUCGAGGGUGCGCCCUGGGAGUGGGUGGAGGAUGAUGGGCAUGCGUGGGAAGAGCUCUGAGAUCCUUGGCCUCAUGGAGAGUGUUGGGCAGUUACCCGUCCCCUGCCCUUGGGCCUUUGUGAGUGUGGCUUCCUGGAACUCUGGGGGAUUUGUCCCCAGUGACUGCAGGGGGCUCUCCUGUCCCUUUUAUUCAAGCUCCACUGUCUGCCCUAAGCUGGGGACUGGUCCAGCUGACCUGGACAGUACGGCACGUGGGCCCUGCCGGUCAGCGUGGUGUUGGGAAGCACUUGGGUGGGUGGUGGGUUGGGUUGUGGCCUUACCGCAGAGCCUGGGCUGCAGCUGAGAAAGCCGUCUCCUAGGACCAGGACUCUGGGUUUGGGAGGCUGGCGGUCUUGGCCCAGCAGUUCAGUGGCUGCCCGGUGUGUCUGCCUGGCCUGGCCCUCGUCUGGUUGCUGCCGUCUGGGAGGCACUUCUGCCCUUGCCCAGGCGGGGCACUGCGGGGGCGAGGACGCGGCGUGGAAGACUGCUGAUUCAGGAAUCGAAACUCCAGGGGCAUCGUGUAGCAGAGUGAUUCUAAGAUGAUUAAGAAAACCAUCGAUGAUUUAAAGUGUUCACUGCAGUCCUUAUUGAGUGAUUUGCCACGUGCAGGGCAUGUGGGGGUGGCGCACCGGGCUGCAGACAUCCUUCAUGACAGCAGGCAGGGGACGUCCUAGGAGUCUUGGCUGUGACAAGUGAGGUGUGAGGGCUAGAGAGGUGAACGUGUGGAAUCUGUGACCCAGAAGUAGCACACUCCUUUCUUGGAAAGCAGUUAGGUAUUCCAUUCCUUAGUCCUUAUGCCGUUGUUUAAAACGGCCAAAACCAGAGGCCUAGAGAAUGUACCUGGAAGAUGCAGUGAGACCAUUUCUGAUCCUUGUGGCCUUUCCGGGGCUCAGUUUCCUUGCUUUGGAAAGGCUGUUUUGGCAGAGGUCUGCUGUGAGGCAUCUCCCUGCAGGUGCAAUUUCCGGGGCUCAGUCUUCUUGCUUUGGAAAGGCUGUUUUGGCAGAGGUCUGCUGUGAGGCAUCUCCCUGCAGGUGCAAUUGGGCUUGUGCGUCUUUCUCAGGCUGGCAUCACACAGGCCCCAGUGAACUCUGGCAAGGCUGGGAGGACUGUGACGGGGGGACCCGCUGCCUGCCCUCAGCCUGUUGGGCCCCACAGCGUGUCUCUCUGCGGACUGGUCGCCGGCUUCCUGUGGCCUGUGUGUCCUGGAGCUUUGGAACCCUGUUCGGUAGCUCGGAGCUCGUGAGCCCAAAGGGCGGGGGCCUGGUUCCUCGCCCAUCCUUGCCCAGCCUGAUGGCCUGUGCCUGUGGACUGUACGUGGGCACCUGCUUUAACCCCUGCAGGAGUAGGGGCCACCAGGAGCAUGUGGCUCUGGGCCUCCCUGGUAGAGUCACUCACUGGCAGGAGAACUGAGUGGGACCCACCAGGCAGUGUCUGUCUCAUGGACGCCCGUGGACCUGCAGCCUGGAGAGGGGGCCUGAAGUGUGUUCCGCGCUCUUGACCCCCAGGAAGCACUGGCCUCUGUUGAAAGCCUCCUGCCGCAGAGCGCUGUUGCUCUCCCGGAUGGACGGCCGUGUGGGCUCCUUGCUCCAGCGAUGCCAGUGCUCCUGCUGCUGUGUGUGGCUGGCUCCCCUUUGUCUCAGCCCUGGGCUUAGAGCAGGCCAGGUGCUCAGGCAGUGCUUUUGUUGAUUGAAGGGGGGUGUGUACCUGGCUGCAACCUGUGGAGAGUGUGAAUGGCUGGCAGAAGCCAAGGCGGGCUCUUGGGAGAUGAGAGCAGGCGGCCGGCCUGGAAGCUUCCGUGGGGCUGGUCAGCUCCGGCUAGCUCUUCCUGGCACAGAUCCACGCUGGGCUGGGUGCCAUGGCUCAUACCUGUAAUCCCAGCACUUUGGGAGCCUGAGGUGGGAGGAUCGCUUGAGCCUGAGAGUCCAAGGCCAGCCUGGGCAACACUGUGAGACCCCACCUCUAUUUUAAAAAAUAAAAAUAUAAAGAUGGGAUCAUGGCGCAGGGGCAGCACAAGUUCCAGGCGCACAAGCCCGCAAAGAGCAAGACGGCAGCGGCGGCCUCUGAAAAGAAUCGGGGCCCGAGAAAAGGCCGUCGUGUUAUCGCUCCCAAGAAGGCGCGUGGUGUGCAGCAGCAAAAGCUCAAGAAGAACCUAGAAGUCGGGAUCCAGAAGAAGAUCGAACAUGACGUGGUGAUGAAAGCCAGCAGCAGCCUGCCCGAGAAGCUGGCACUGCUGAAGGGCCGUGGCACUGCUGAAGAAUGGGGCGGCUGCCGCCACCUCCUCUGAGACACCUUCCUGAGGACGCUGGCCCCAGUGCAGGCCAACACCCCAUCCCCUACCUCCAUAUGGGAUCUUACAAGUGAUCCCACAGGCUGCACUGUCAGGAAGAGGACCCGUUCCCCAGCACUGGGCUUCAUCUAGAACUUGAGUGGGGGCCAAGGGUGCUGAGAACCCAGCAGUGACCAGGAAGAUACAGUCACCAACUUCAUCUGUCCCCAUGCCCCUUCCCAGGUCCUGCCUCCACAGGUUUAACCCAGAACAAUAAACCUGGCUUUGUC